rnacentral:rRNA from 1 species
UACGAAGGGGGCUAGCGUUGCUCGGAAUCACUGGGCGUAAAGCGCACGUAGGCGGCUUGUUAAGUCGGGGGUGAAAUCCUGGAGCUCAACUCCAGAACUGCCCUCGAUACUGAUGAGCUCGAGUCCGGGAGAGGUGAGUGGAACUGCGAGUGUAGAGGUGAAAUUCGUAGAUAUUCGCAAGAACACCAGUGGCGAGGGCGGCUCACUGGCCCGGUACUGACGCUGAGGUGCGAAAGCGUGGGGAGCAAACAGG